AGGAUGAAGUUUCAACAGUGGUUCUUUCAAGAAGUGGAGAUUCGUUUACACCAAUCAUGUAUUAUCCAUAAAACAAAAUUAUGCGGCCAAUGGGAAAAUAAAGUGCAACCUGGACUGCCAAAGAUGGCAAAGAACGAUAAUGAGAUGCAUUGGCGAGGGUUUGGUGAGAACUUCAGUUUUCUUUGGCAAAUGUCUGCUCCCUUCUGAACUGGCUUCAUAAUCACGUGACCCUUCAGUUUCUAGAAGCCCACUGUCUAGCCACCUUCUGAUACAGGAUCAAGCCAAGAAACCAGAAAGAAGCAAACGAAAGUUAAAGAUCUGCCUAUAUUACCGAGUGCAAGCACUGAAAUUCACACCUGUCACAGGAAAAACAUUUCAUUCCUAACAAUACUAUCAUUUUAAUAAUCACUCAUAUUUAUUGCAUAUUUACUCCAAUACCCACUGGAUGCUCGAUGCGUAUUAUUUCAUUUAACCUUCUCGGUAAUAUCCUGGGGCUUCACGAGCCAAUAGAAACAAUGGAAUAGAAUGAAGACAAGGUGCCCUCACAAGCAAAGUGACAGCUGAAGGACACAGAGAAGCUAUAAAAGCAGGCACCAAACCUCCCGGACCAUCAUCCUCAGAGUCGAGAGGCGGGAGAGUGCAGUCAUUGAGAGGAAGAAGAAUAGCCCGCCGGCGCAUUGUGCUUUAGGGUUUACAGAGCACUUUCACACAUUAUGUUUUAUUUGAACCUGAGUCAAUUUAAAAAAAUGCAAUUCGGGCCGGGCGUGGUGGCUCAAGCCUGUAAUCCCACCACUUUGGGAGGCCAAGGCGGGUGGAUCACGAGGUCAAGAGAUCGGGACCAUCCUGGUCACCAUGGUGAAACCCUGUCUCUACUAAAAAUACAAAAAAUUAGCUGGGCAUGGUGGCACGUGCCUGUAAUCCCAGCUACUCGGGAGGCUGAGGCAGGAGAAUUGCCUAAACCCAGGAGGUGGAGGUUGUGGUGAGCCGAGAUCACGCCAUUGCACUCCAGCCUGGGUAACAAGAGCGAAACUCCAUCUCAAAAAAAAAAAAAAGGCAAUUCAAUUUGGUAUCUUCUGUUUAAAAUAGAGGAUGUGUGUGAUGCAUUCGAGGAAGCAUGACUGAUAUUUUUGAAAACUUGUGACUUUAAAGGAGUGGGAAAGAUAUUAUAUUUAUUACUUGGAGCAUUAACGAGGGAUAUUUUUCAAAACUUGUGGCUUUAAAAGAGUGGGAAAGGUAUUUAUUACUUGGAACAAUAAGUUAAGUAAAUAACUUGAUACUCCAGGUUACAAGGUACCUGACAGGUAUAAAGAGAUGUCCUUC